GACGAACGCUGGCGGCGUGCCUAAUACAUGCAAGUCGAACGCAGUGGGGACGGGUGAGUAACCCGUGGGUAACCUCCCAUCAGAGGGGAUAACGCUUGGAAACAGGUGCUAAACCGAUAUUACUGGAUGGACCCGCGGUGAAUUAGCUAGUUGGUGAGGUAAUGGCGCACCAAGGCCUCGAUGCAUAGGCGACCGGAGGGGGGUGUCGGCCACACUGGGACUGAGACACGGCCCAGAAUCCUACGGGAGGAAGCAGCAGGGAAUAUUCGGCAAUUGACGAAAGUCUGACCGAGCAACGCCGCGUGAGUGAAGAAGGUUUUCGGAUCGUAAAACUCUGUUGUUAGAGAAGCGGUAUCUAACCAGAAAGCCACGGCUAACUACGUGCCAGCAGCCGCGGUAAUUC
rnacentral:rRNA from 1 species